ensembl:lncRNA
GAAGACCCCCUCAUGUUAAUUUCACUCGUAAGCCGAUGGUGUCGUGGGUUUUCUCAAUGUACCCCCUGUGGAGAGGCCAUGUACCCCCAGGGGUCCUAGUACCCCAGGUUGGGAACCACUGCAUUACACUAUAUCAUUUAAAUGGACAUUCGUUUUGUGACGACAGUGUACAAAUACAUGAACACAGCAGAGCACAAUGCAAUAUUACAUCCCCACUAAUUUGAAGCCUGGCAUACUUGGGCCUAUGUCUGUAUUAUGGCCCGCUGUUUUGGCAGCCUGAUAGACACAUAGAGUGAGAUGGAGACUUUGAUGUCAGGGUGGAAGGUGGAAAAGUCGGGGGAAGAGAGACGUAUUGCGGAAACAAGGAUGUUGUUGAAACGGGAAAGUGUUGUAUCACACACAACUAGAUUAAAAUGUUAUUGUGGUACCAUUCUAACUGCCCACAAACCUGCUUAUCUCCAACUUCUCAUUGUAGCCAGAGCAGUAAUAUUGUCCUGCAGAACUCUGCUUUAGUGAAUGGGUGUGUCCGUUGUCAGUGUCUGUGAGAGAACCUUUGUCAAACCAUUUUUUCAAAUGACAAUCAUGUUGCUGUUUAGUGCAUGUAAACACCUAUGUUAAAGUUAACCUAAGAUAUACAACCAAUGAACACCAGGCACAUAUCGCAGGGUUGCGAACACUAACAAAAUAACACACACAAACUAAGAGGCAGAGCAGACCGACUCUCACACACACCUCCACACUUUCACACUUAUUAGCCACUUACCUGCGGCUCAAACAUCCAGGGAAAAUCCACCCUCUUCUCCCCAUCAGACUUCUUGAAGAUGUAGGCCGAGUAGAGGGGGAUGUGUUUGUGGGGGUCGUAGAGGGUGACGAAGCAUGGCUUGUCCUCGUAACGCUGGCAGAUCUUUUUCAGGGGGCUGCUGAAUUGGUAGCCCCGCGGCGGGGUGCCCAUGUACAAGGAGUCCUUACAGCGCUCCACGUGGUUGAAGUCCUCCACCACGCCAGCCCGGGACCCCCGCAGACAACACAGUAGGACAGCCAGAGACAGACAAGAGGGGAUUGAUUGGUGUCUCAUGUUGCCUCACGAUGAUCCCAUUUCUCCCUCUGCCCUUCACACUACUGUAGCUGCUCUGUUUCAGCCUCUCGCUUUUUCCCUUGUAUUCCUUAUUAUGUUUCAUACAUGUCGACAGUAAGUCUCUCUGGGUCAGCCCAUCUCUACUCCCUAUUUCAGAGCCCUUUUACAUCUAUUCAAAGUGGCGAGCCAUGGUAGCAAAGUGAGAAGCAGUAUAAAUGUAUGUUAUCAGUUUUUAGCUUCCAAAAUGGCUACUUAGAACUACACCCAUCAACAGGUCAAGCACUGGUUAGAUGUCUUAUAAUAUGUCAUUUGUAAGCCUAUUUAACGCUUUCCUAUCUUCUCCUUCAUGCUUUCUGGAGCAGAACAAAGCUUUGUUUAGAUUAAAAUGUAGACUUCAAGAACAGUCUGAGACAAUAUGCAGACCUAACAUUGUCAUGUUUUACAUCACUGACUUGAUAUGGAUUUUGCUGCUGGAAUUAUUAUUAUGGGCUUCCAGUAAAUAUGCUUAUGGAUGUGUAGAAAAUGAAUGAUGCAUUGGGAAAUUAUUUGCAAUGACUCUAUUUCUACCCAUUACAGUGUUAUUAUUUUGGACCUGUUUGUUCUUUCACACAUUUAGUGUGAGGAGAGUGGGAGGUUUUAAUCAUAUAUUUUCAUAUCUGCUGUGUGUGUGACUACAACUGCACUUUAAAAAUGAAUAUUGAUGAAUACAUGUUAUUUUUAUUUUUUUACAGUUCAUUACUGAAUAUCACUCUG